rnacentral:lncRNA from 1 species
CAAGCAUACACAAUUUUCAAAUUAACAGAAAGUGCUACAAGAGCAAAGAAAAGGGAAUGAAGUGAGGUGGGGAAGGCUUGAGACAUCCCUGUGGAAAGAGUGAUUUCUAAUCUAUAUAAAUCUGUACCACCAUACAUGGGGUGCAAGCUAAAGACAUAGUUCUACCUCCACCUUACCUUAAUGCUCUAAGGUUCUGGAUAAGCAUCCAGAAAAUGAUCUUGAACACUUAGUCCUUUCAAGUAAAUACAGGAUCCUCAAUUUUCUCUUCCAAUAGACACUGGGUGGUGCUAUUGUCCAAAAAUUCCUCCCCGUCACAGAUUUAUUACUUCAAUCUAUAGACAUCUCCACAACCAAUGUGUCUUGUGGGCCAAAGUGCUAGGGAUUGGGGAUAUAAAGGUAAAUAGCUUCAGUUGUUCUGUGAUUAUAAACUGAUUGCUAUCGGGUUCCGUGGCCGAGAAAGUUGCAAAUGUGACUGUUACAUUUUAUAGGAGAGCACUACUGUCACAGAAAUGUCCAGUUGUAGGGGUGAAUGGCCCUGAACCACCCACCCUCACCAUGAGCAUCCCUACUCCACGACCUGGCUAAGGAUUAGAGCAGACGACACCGAGCCCCACUUCCAACCUACUGUUAGGUUUUCAUAGCGUCCUUAGGCCCCAGUGGCUAUAAAAAGCCCAGAGAGCCUAAAUACCGGUCAUUCGGCUUGGACUUCAGUGUUCCAGAUGCUCUAAGCUCACUGGGCAAGAUGUGUCUGCUUAAUGCAGAGGUCUCUGUUAUUGUGAAAGAGUGAGGGUACUUAGGAUUAAGGGAAUGUGGACCCUCAGGACUAAAGCAGUGGGAGAGGCCUGGGAGGUGGAGCCUGGGGAGGCGGGGUCUGCUCUGAUGUCACCAAGCCCCUGAUCAUAGAGGAGAUGGUGGGCAGGCUCUGGAGGCUGAAGCGGAGGAGGGGAAGGAAAGGAGUCCGGAAACCCUGGGCCAAUCAGACAGGGCUGGGGCGGGGUCUGCUGCAGGGCUUAGCGCUGCAGGCCUCUGGCGGGAACGCUAACCUGGUCCAGAGCGAGCCUGGGUCUCAGCCCCGCGGACAGCUUUUCAGGAGUCUUCAAGCCUUCAGGCUUUCUUCUAGUCAAGAUGAGUGAUAAACCAGACUUGUCGGAAGUGGAGAAGUUUGACAGGUCAAAACUGAAGAAAACUAAUACUGAAGAAAAAAAUACUCUUCCUUCAAAGGAAAGUAAGUCAUGGGGGAUUCUGAUGGAAACAAACAAUAGAGAAAGUUAAUAGGUUCACUAAAUAAACCUAUCUUCUAGUAAAUUUUUGAUGCAAAGUAAGCAAUAAUUAGAGUACCAUGGUAUUUAAUGCAGCAGUUAAAACUAUCAAAUAUUUUUCUUCUGGUUCUCAUAUGAUGGGGGCCCAGUAGUGAUAGGGGAAUAAAAAACUAGAUUCUUGUUAGAAAAUUAUUAAAACCACGUUAAAACCAAUCUUGGGAUAUUGGAUGUAGCACUAAAAAACACUUAGUUUUUGUGUAUUUCUUAAUAGAGACGGGGUUUCACCGUGUUAGCCAGGAUGGUCUCGAUCUCCUGACCUCGUGAUCCGCCCGUCUCGGCCUCCCAAAGUGCUGGGAUUACAGGCUUGAGCCACCGCGCCCGGCCGCUGAGCAUUUUUAAUGUACCCACUGGCCGUUUGUGCUGCUUCUUUUCAGUAAUGUCUAUUGAGGUCGUUUGCUGAUUUAAAAAUUGAAUUAUUUGUUUUCUUGCUAUUGUGUUGUCCACAUUCCUUCUAUAUUUUGAAUAUUAACCUCUUAUCAGAUGUACAUUUGCUAGUAUUUUCUCGCUUUCUGCGGGCUUGUUACCUAUGAAAGGGGUCCCCUGAAAGGUGGUAUCUUUCCCUGGUUGGUGUUGUGAAGCCAGUAUAAUAAACUGCAAGUGAGUGUCAGGCAGUGCAGGCUUUAUUCCAUGGCCAUGGACUUCACAAGCAGGAGGUUGGCUCACAAAUCAACUUCUCAGCUCGGGAGAGGGAGAAUAUCACAAAUACAGGGGAUUUUUAACGAAGGGAUUGGGCAUUAGAAGCAAGGAGAGGAAUAUUUAUUUCUUUUCUGUGAAUAGGUGCAGGACUUCUCGAAAACAGAAUGCCACCUACCUUAUUGCCCAUUCAAGGUUUCUUUCAGUCGUUGUCACAGUGAUUGUCAACUGUUGUGGUGCUGGUGGGGGUGUCAGUUCGUAUGGGAAUUAGAUUAUAAUGAAGUUCCAGUUUCUUUAAAGAUCAAUUGAGCUGCCAUGUUGCAUCCCAUCAGUCUCGGCCGGUUUAGUCACGAUGGGGAAAUUCUGAUGUCAGGUAUCCUGCUUCCUAAAGACAAGCAGAGUUAAGGCAGGGUAGAAAUUUAACUAGGUCCUGUAGGCAUUACAUUGGGUAACACGUUGUCUCCUCACUCUAUUAUUUAUUCUUUUUCUGUAAAAACUUCUUUAAUUUGACACCAUCGCAUUUGUCUACUUUUUACUUUUGUUGCCUGGGCUUUCAGGGUCAUAUCCAAAAAAUCAUUGCCCAGGCCUAUGUCAUGGAGCUUUGUCAAAAUAUGAAACUUGAAUGGCUAUAUCACAAAAUUAAAGAAAUUUUAAAUAGCAGAAUAGACACAGUUGGACUGAGAAUCGGAGAAUGAGAAGACAGAUGUAAAGUCAUUGUGAAAAUUUCAUAGGGACAUAACUCGUGAGAAAGGAGUGAGGAGAACUGAUAAACCUUAAGGAUCUGACUAAAAGGCACAAAGUAUAUCUCAUAAGUAAUACUGGGCAAGUUGGAAAGAAUUCUAAUCAAAGGGAAAAUCGCUGGUAAUUUUACAGAAUUGAAGGAAGACAUGAUAAACUACCUUCAGGGAGGACACCUGUUCCCAUCCUUCUAAAGCUUAAGAAAAGUGAAAGCAGAAAUCACAAUAGCUAAGAGAAGAAAAAAAGACAACUGCAAGGCCUAUAAAGGAAUAACAAAUAGUUUGACAGUCAACCUCCUUAUAUCAAUAAAUAAAACUCAAAAGCAGAG